CUCGGCGAGGCUGCUGGAUUAACGUUCUCGUUCCACUCCCCCCCUCCCCCGCUUCAGAAGCUCCCCUCCACGCUCCGGUCGGGUCCCCACGGCUGCUCCUUCCCAUCUGUACCCCCGUAGAGUGCGGGGACACCCGGAGCAGCAAAGAACUGAGUCAGGAGGCCAGGACGACACGGGGACUCCAGAGACCCCCUCGGGCCGCCCCCCGAGCCCGACCGAGCUGGGGGUAGGGGUGCGGGCGCCCCGCACAGAUCUAGGCAGUGACACUUCUGUGUUAUGAAUCGACUCAAAGAAGGCACGGAAACAAAGGGCGAUGUUCAAAUGGCGCUUCUUCUGUAGCGCCCAGCAGCCUGAAACCAGCAGAGACGAAGGCAGCCCUGGAAAGCCGAAAGCCGGAUUUAUCUGUGGGCUUCUCACCUUUCCUGCCAGCGCUGCACCACUUUGCUGAUUGUGCUCCAUACUGGUUUCUGCUGGCAUGCAUCUGCCCUGAAUACGUUUUCCCCUUAUCCUCUUCAAUAAAUGCAGCUUCUUUGUUUUAGCAUUCGAAGUACAAUUCUUUG
rnacentral:lncRNA from 1 species